rnacentral:rRNA from 1 species
GUCCACGCCGUAAACGAUGAGCACUAGUUAUUGGAGGUAUUGACUCCUCCAGUGACGCAGCUAACGCAUUAAGUGCUCCGCCUGGGAAGUACGGUCGCAAGACUAAAACUCAAACAAAUUGACGGGGGCCCGCACAAGCGGUGGAUUAUGUGGUUUAAUUCGAAGCAACGCGCAGAACCUUACCUAGGCUUGAACUCCUACGAAUCCGGGGUAAUGCCUGGAGUGUCCGCAAGGAAAUGUAGUGAGAGGUGCUGCAUGGCUGUCGU